UGCUGCGAUAAACACACACGUUUUGGAGG
rnacentral:piRNA from 1 species